rnacentral:rRNA from 1 species
UACGAAGGGUGCUAGCGUUGUUCGGAAUCACUGGGCGUAAAGCGCAUGUAGGCGGAUGUGUCAGUCAGGGGUGAAAUCCCGGAGCUCAACUUCGGAACUGCCUUUGAUACAGCACAUCUGGAGUCCGGAAGAGGUGGGUGGAAUUCCUAGUGUAGAGGUGAAAUUCGUAGAUAUUAGGAAGAACACCGGUGGCGAAGGCGGCCCACUGGUCCGGUACUGACGCUGAGGUGCGAAAGCGUGGGGAGCAAACAGG